rnacentral:rRNA from 1 species
UAAGGAAUAUUGGGCAAUGGACGCAAGUCUGACCCAGCCAUGCCGCGUGGAGGAUGAAGGUCCUCUGGAUUGUAAACUUCUUUUAUCUGGGAAGAAAAAAGGGAAUUCUUUCCCGUCUGACGGUACCAGAUGAAUAAGCACCGGCUAACUCCGUGCC